ensembl:snRNA U6 U6 spliceosomal RNA
GAGCUCGCUUUAGCAGCUCAGAUACUGAAAUUGGCACAAUCCAGAGAGGAUUAGCAUGGCCCCUGCGAAAGAAGGACAAGCAAAUUCAUGAAGCGUUUAAAAAAAAA